GAUCUGGCUCAGGAUGAACGCUGGCGGCGUGCUUAACACAUGCAAGUCGAACGAAGCACUUUAACCUGAUUCUUCGGAUGAAGGUUUUUGUGACUGAGUGGCGGACGGGUGAGUAACGCGUGGGUAACCUGCCUCAUACAGGGGGAUAACAGUUAGAAAUGACUGCUAAUACCGCAUAAGACCACAGAGUCGCAUGGCUCAGUGGGAAAAACUCCGGUGGUAUGAGAUGGACCCGCGU
rnacentral:rRNA from 1 species